rnacentral:misc_RNA from 1 species
UUUCCGUAGGUGAACCUGCGGAAGGAUCAUUCAUAAUAAGUGUUUUAUUGCACUUUUUUAAAUCCAUAUCCACCUUGUGUGCAAUGUCAGGGUUGAUUUUUCUCUCGAGAGGAUAAACCCCAAACAUCAACUAUAUCUCAACUCUUUGUCUGAAAAAUAUUAUGAAUAAAACAAUUCAAAAUACAACUUUCAACAACGGAUCUCUUGGCUCUC